rnacentral:rRNA from 1 species
AGUGAACGCUGGCGGUAGGCCUAACACAUGCAAGUCGAACGGCAGCACAGUAAGAGCUUGCUCUUACGGGUGGCGAGUGGCGGACGGGUGAGGAAUACAUCGGAAUCUACUUUUUCGUGGGGGAUAACGUAGGGAAACUUACGCUAAUACCGCAUACGACCUACGGGUGAAAGCAGGGGAUCUUCGGACCUUGCGCGAUUGAAUGAGCCGAUGUCGGAUUAGCUAGUUGGCGGGGUAAAGGCCCACCAAGGCGACGAUCCGUAGCUGGUCUGAGAGGAUGAUCAGCCACACUGGAACUGAGACACGGUCCAGACUCCUACGGGAGGCAGCAGUGGGGAAUAUUGGACAAUGGGCGCAAGCCUGAUCCAGCCAUACCGCGUGAGUGAAGAAGGCCUUCGGAUUGUAAAGCCCUUUUGUUGGGAAAGAAAAGCAGCAGGUUAAUACCCCGCUGUUCUGACGGUACCCAAAGAAUAAGCACCGGCUAACUUCGUG